rnacentral:rRNA from 1 species
UACGUAGGGUGCGAGCGUUGUCCGGAAUUAUUGGGCGUAAAGAGCUCGUAGGCGGUCUGUCGCGUCUGCUGUGAAAACUCGGGGCUUAACCCCGGGCCUGCAGUGGGUACGGGCAGACUAGAGUGCGGUAGGGGAGACUGGAAUUCCUGGUGUAGCGGUGAAAUGCGCAGAUAUCAGGAGGAACACCGGUGGCGAAGGCGGGUCUCUGGGCAACAACUGACGCUGAGGAGCGAAAGCGUGGGGAGCGAACAGG